CUUGGUCAUUUAGAGGAAGUAAAAGUCGUAACAAGGUUUCCGUAGGUGAACCUGCGGAAGGAUCAUUAGAGAAAUACAAAUCGAUGGGAAAUUCGUUUCCCUUUCGGUUUUCAACCCUCAUACUUUCUUUGUGCACUUGUUUUCUGCUACUCGGAGUUUUUUCGAAUCCCCCGAUGGCAAUUUUUUUUUUCAACUCUACAAAUCGUAUAUCGUAAACAAAAGCAAAAAAAAGUAGAAACAACUUUCAGCAACGGAUCUCUUGGCUCUCGCUUCGAUGAAGAACGCAGCAAAUUGCGAUACGUAAUGUGAAUUGCAGAACUCAGUGAAUCAUCGAAUCUUUGAACGCAUCUUGCGCUCUUUGGUAUUCCGAAGAGCACACCUGUUUGAGGGUCAUGUUUAACAUUCAACACUAGUUUAUUUCUGUAUAGAAGCAGACUAUGUUGCUUGAUGCUGGCUGAACGUCUGUGUGUGCUCCUUUGUUAGUGCACUCGUUCGAAAUGUCUUUUUUGAUUCUUUUGUUGUUUGGGACACAAAAUAGCCUAUUCCCUUUGUCCUCUUUCGAGGGGAAAUAAGGAUAGGGGCUCGCUCACCCAAUGCCGAUUAGAUGAUUGUGCUUGGUGUGUGCAGUCCCACUCGUUCUUGUUUAGGUUUAGGACCAUUUUGAUCAUGCCUCACUCGACCCUAUUUGUAAAUCAAGACCUCAAAUCAGGUGGGAUUACCCGCUGAACUUAAGCAUAUCAAUAAGCGGAGGAAAAGAAACUAACAAGGAUUCCCCCAGUAACGGCGAGUGAAGUGGGAAAAGCUCAAAUUUGUAAUCUGGCGGCGCAAGCUGUCCGAGUUGUAGCCUUGAGAAGCAAUGUCCGAGUCCUGGCCGGCCCGUGAGUCUGUUGGAAUACAGCGUCUGUGAGGGUGACAACCCCGACAACGUCGUCGUGCCUGGGCUUCAUCAUGUCAUGCUUUCAAUGAGUCGAGUUGUUUGGGAAUGCAGCUCUAAUUGGGUGGUAAAUUCCAUCUAAAGCUAAAUAUCAGCGAGAGACCGAUAGCAAACAAGUACCGUGAGGGAAAGAUGAAAAGCACUUUGGAAAGAGAGUUAAAAGUAUGUGAAAUUGCUGAAAGGGAAACGCUUCACGUCAGCCUUGACUCGUCCUCUUUCAACACUCCCCGGAGUGUGCAUGGGGCGGACGGACAGGCCAGCAUCGGUUAAUGUAUCGCAGCACAAAAGCGCCCAGGGAAGGUGGCCAUCUUCACGGAUGGUGUUAUAGACCUGCGGCACGAUCUGUUCGCUGUCGGUGACCGAGGACCGCAGUGCGUCUUGGGGGUCUCCGGACCUUCCAGCACUUAGGAUGCUUGGCAAAAUGGCGUAAAGCGACCCGUCUUGAAACACGGACC
rnacentral:rRNA from 1 species